rnacentral:rRNA from 1 species
AGGAUAGAACAUGUUCGGUGCCUCGCCCUUGUCUCCUUCGCCUGAUACUGCAAAUGAUGGGAAUCCUAUCGAUGAAGAAGAGGCAUAGGCAUCGCCUCUCGAUCCAAUCCGUCUUCCCUGGCCUCCCCAACAAACUCUUGAUACGAAAUCAACCUCCCGCCAUAGAGAAGAGAUCUAAAGUCUUGGUCCCCUCGAUCACCCUUCCUUGAACCUGAACUGGUCGAGAGAGAUGAACCCGCACCACAUUUUAUAACCUUCGAACCGAAACCCCCAAAACGAGAUGGAAUUCCAGAACCUAAACAACUCAGUUGAGAGCUCCGUGACCGGUUCAAGUCCAGGUCCACCAAUGAUUUAUAGGCCAUUCCCCCCCCCCCCCCUCAGAUCCCCCCCUCCGUUGUUACUGAUUCAUUCAAGGCAUAGACUCCUUUGUCUUUGUCUUAUUAGCGCAGGUGUUCGUCAACGAUGAAAGCCGCUGAACUUCAAACUCGAGUGGAGAAAGAGGGCUAGGCCCAGGAGGGCUUUCAGGGACUGGGGAAGACGGGUUGAUUAUAGAGCUAGGGGCAGAUCGAAGUAAUGUCCAUUGGGCAUUCCCGAGCCUCGACUGGGCCAGCCGACAUGAAAAACUUCUCCCAUCGCAUCAUUAACCGGUGUAGGAUUAAAGAUCAGGUCCAGGAUUCGAGUCAAACAUCGACCUUCCCUCUCAUCUCAGGGUGAGGCAAGGAAUUCAAUCAAAUGUUCGUUGUUCAAUAUCUCGGCUGCUCAAGAAGUUGGACUAGCUGCUCCGCCUAUUACGUAAGGGCCCGGAGUUGAUUCUAGGGGAAGGGCAGAGCCUCACCUUGCUUUAGGAAGGUGUUCGUUGCUGGGACGGGUUAAAAAAUAUCUGGACCGAAGGGACGGGAGGAGGAAUUCAAUACUCCGAUCUUCCUUGGGAUUCAUCACUGGCUAGGGGUUUCGAAUCAAAGCAUGGGCAUCUGCAACUAAGAGGGAGCAGUAGAUCGUCGAUUGAAGAGCCAGGUCAGUCAACUUCUAUAGAAUGGGACUUCUAUUGAUUAUUGAUUCGACUAGAGGGACUCCUAGCAGCAAACGUCGGCGGAAGGGGCCCCCAUGGAGACGCAGGAGAUGCAGGAGCCGCCAGCCGGGUCGACCAAUGAAUGAUAGGCCGGAGGGAGGGGCUCAUUCGACUAAUCAGUGAUCCCUGGGCCUACCUAACACAGAUGUCCCUGAAAUAGGGGAUUGGUUGAUCGGAAAGCUCAGGCAGGAGUAGGACAUUCCAUACAAAUCUUUCUCCGCUAGCAGGUGGUCCUCUCAAAUCAAAUUUAUUCAUCGACAGGUAGGCUUAAUUCUGACGGUUCCUUAUUCCGGUUGUAAAGCGGAAGAAGCCAUUCUCCCUGCCCCACCAGCAGCCCGCGUUUCCGACCCGAAAGGAAGUCAAGCGCUUUAAACGACGAAUCUGUGUUCACUAUCUAUGGAGUGGAGUGACUAUCCUUAAUCUCCUCUUCCCUAUCUCCCCCCUUUUUGCCUGAUUUUAUUUUCCUUUCUCGCCGGCAGGAGAAUCCAUUUCUUGUAUUGUUUAUUAUGAUGGGUCUGUAGUUCAAGGGCACUCUUCCUAAUCCGAUAAUGAGAUGGGAUAAGACCCAGACGUAGAGUCCCGUCGGCCGGGAAGGUAUUUUUUCUAUGGAUUUUUGACUUCCUUCUGGCCUUUACUACUCCUAUUAGUAGUUCAGUCUCUUUCCCCCCGAGGGAAAGCCCUUUCAAGAUGGAGUAGUUCAUCUGUGUCUUGAAAGCCCGCCCUAAAGAUAGGAGUUCCUAUCUCUACUGCCUAUCCGACGGCCCGAUCGAUAGUUAUUCGUGGUGGAGUGCUUCGAAUAGGAUCCCACAUCCCAUCCCAGCAGUCAAACUCCUUCCUGACCCGGCUCACCUGCCUCUGAAGCUGGAAUGACUGCCUACCCGAGGAAUCGAAAGGUUGGAAGUGGGAUGUGGAAUGUGAUUGGUGAUGGAUGGUGGUUAUGAAAUCGGUUCGGGAUCAUCUCGCAUCUAGAUCUGUAUCUGCACCUAGCUCUGCUGUUGAGGCAGAAGGGAACCUUGUGUUAGGACCUACGGGCCAAGGGACAGUCUCAGGUAGACAGUUUCUAUGGGGCAUAGGCCUCCCAAAAGGUCAUGGAGGCGUGCAAAGGUUUCCUCGGGCCGGACGGAGAUGGGCCCUCGAGUGCAAAGGCAGAAGGGAGCUUGAUUGCAAGACCCACCCGUCGAGCAGGGACGAAAGUCGGCCUUAGUGAUCUGACGGUGCCGAGUGGAAGGGCCGUCGCUCAACAGAUAAAAGUGACUCUAGGGAUAAUAGGCUGAUCUUCCCCAAGAGUUCACAUCGACGGGAAGGUUUGGCACCUCGAUGUCGGCUCUUCGCCACCUGGGGCUAUAGUAUGUUCCAAGGGUUGGGCUGUUCGCCCAUUAAAGCGGUAUGUGAGUUGGGUUCAGAACGUCGUGAGACAGUUCGGUCCAUAUCCGGUGUGGGCGUUAGAGCAUUGAGAGGACCUUUCCCUAGUACGAGAGGAUCGGGAAGGACGCACCUCUGGUGUACCAGUUAUCAUGCCCACGGUAAACACUGGGUAGCCAAGUGCGGAGCGGAUAACUGCUGAAAGCAUCUAAGUAGUAAGCCCACCCCAAGAUGAGUACUCUCCUAUUCCAACUUCCCCAGAGCCUCCGGUAGCACAGCCGAGACAGCGACGGGUUCUCUGCCCCUACGGGGAUGGAGCGACAGAAGUCUUGAGAAUCCAAGAUAAGGUCACGGCGAGACGAGCCGUUUAUCAUUACGAUAGGUGUCAAGUGGAAGUGCAGUGAUGUAUGCAGCUGAGGCAUCCUAACAGACCGAGAGAUUUGAAC